rnacentral:rRNA from 1 species
AUGAGGGGGAAGAAGCCGCUCAAGGAGCUCACACUCUCCGUGCCGGCGCAGGAGACGCCCGUCGAUAAGUUCCUGACGGCGAGCGGUACGUUCAAGGACGGUGAACUGCGACUUAAUCAAAGAGGUUUGCAGCUUAUCUCCGAGGAAAACGGAGAUGAACAUCAAUCAACAAAAAUGAAGGUGGAAGAUGUGCAGUUAUCAAUGGAUGACCUCGAGAUGAUUCAGGUCAUUGGUAAGGGAAGUGGUGGUGUUGUCCAACUAGUGCGGCACAAGUGGGUGGGCACAUUUUAUGCCUUGAAGGGCAUUCAAAUGAACAUUCAGGAGUCAGUUCGCAAACAAAUAGUACAGGAGCUCAAAAUAAAUCAAGCAACACAGAGCCCACAUAUAGUCCUUUGCCAUCAAUCUUUUUACCACAAUGGUGUAAUAUAUCUUGUUCUGGAAUAUAUGGAUCGUGGAUCUCUUGCAGACAUAAUUAAACAAGUUAAAACCAUUCUGGAGCCAUACCUCGCAGUACUUUGCAAGCAGGUUUUGGAGGGAUUGUUAUAUCUUCAUCAUGAAAGGCAUGUGAUUCACAGAGACAUAAAGCCUUCUAACUUGUUAGUCAACCAUAAAGGUGAAGUAAAGAUUACUGAUUUUGGGGUGAGUGCAGUGCUAGCAAGUUCGAUUGGUCAGCGUGAUACAUUUGUUGGAACCUACAACUAUAUGGCGCCUGAGCGGAUUAGUGGCAGCUCCUAUGACUACAAGAGUGAUGUAUGGAGUUUGGGCUUGGUAAUACUUGAAUGCGCCAUUGGUCGCUUCCCUUAUACUCCUCCAGAGGGAGAAGGUUGGUUAAGCUUCUAUGAACUAUUGGAAGCAAUUGUUGACCAGCCACCACCUUCUGCACCUGCAGAUCAGUUCUCUCCAGAAUUCUGCUCAUUUAUCUCUUCCUGCAUACAAAAGGACCCCGCCGAGCGGAUGUCUGCUUCAGAACUCUUGAACCACGCCUUCAUCAAGAAGUUUGAGGACAAGGACCUAGACCUCCGGAUCCUUGUCGAGAGCCUGGAGCAGCCCAUGAACGUGCCCGAGUGA